rnacentral:rRNA from 1 species
UGGGGAAUUUUGGACAAUGGGGGAAACCCUGAUCCAGCCAUGCCGCGUGAAGGAUGAAGUAUUUCGGUAUGUAAACUUCGAAAGAAUAGGAAGAAUAAAUGACGGUACUAUUUAUAAGGUCCGGCUAACUACGUGCCAGCAGCCGCGGUAAUACGUAGGGACCAAGCAUUGUUCGGAUUUACUGGGCGUAAAGGGCGCGUAGGCGGCAUGACAAGUCACUUGUGAAAUCUCUGGGCUUAACCCAGAACGGCCAAGUGAUACUGUCGCGCUAGAGUGCAGAAGGGGCAAUCGGAAUUCUUGGUGUAGCGGUGAAAUGCGUAGAUAUCAAGAGGAACACCUGAGGUGAAGACGGGUUGCUGGGCUGACACUGACGCUGAGGCGCGAAAGCCAGGGGAGCAAACGGGAUUAGAUACCCAAGUAGUCCCUGAGCGGGCUGGCAAGGCGCAU